rnacentral:rRNA from 1 species
AGUGAACGCUGGCGGUAGGCCUAACACAUGCAAGUCGAACGGCAGCACAGUAAGAGCUUGCUCUUACGGGUGGCGAGUGGCGGACGGGUGAGGAAUACAUCGGAAUCUACUUUUUCGUGGGGGAUAACGUAGGGAAACUUACGCUAAUACCGCAUACGACCUACGGGUGAAAGCAGGGGAUCUUCGGACCUUGCGCGAUUGAAUGAGCCGAUGUCGGAUUAGCUAGUUGGCGGGGUAAAGGCCCACCAAGGCGACGAUCCGUAGCUGGUCUGAGAGGAUGAUAGCCGGCACUGGAAGUGGGACACGGUCCAGACUCCUACGGGAGGGCGCAGUGUGGAAUAUUGGACAAUGGGCGCAAGCAUGAUCCAGCCGUACCGCGUGGGUGAAGAAGGCCUUCGGGUUGUAAAGCCGUUUUGUUGGGAAAGAAACGCAGCAGGUUAAUACGCCGCUGUUCUGACGGUACCCAAAGAAUAAGCACCGGCUAACUUCGUG